rnacentral:rRNA from 1 species
UCUGGUGAUGAUGGCGAAGAGGUCACACCCGUUCCCAUUCCGAACACGGAAGUUAAGCUCUUCAGCGCCGAUGGUAGUUGGGGGUUUCCCCCUGUGAGAGUAGGACGUCGCCAGGC